rnacentral:rRNA from 1 species
UACAGAGGGUGCAAGCGUUGUUCGGAAUUAUUGGGCGUAAAGGGCGCGUAGGCGGCCAUUCAAGUGACGGGUGAAAGCCCUCGGCUUAACCGAGGAACUGCCUGUCAGACUGGAUGGCUUGAGACCGGGAGAGGUGAGUGGAAUUCCCAGUGUAGCGGUGAAAUGCGUAGAUAUUGGGGAGGAACACCUGUGGUGUAGACGGCUCUCUGGACAGUAACUGACGCUGAGACACGAAAAGCGUGGGGAGCAAACAGG